rnacentral:rRNA from 1 species
AGCAGUGAGGAAUAUUGGUCAAUGGCCGCAGGGCUGAACCAGCCAAGUCGCGUGAGGGAUGACGGUCCUAUGGAUUGUAAACCUCUUUUGUCAGGGAGCAAAGGACGCCACGUGUGGCGUUUUGCGAGUACCUGAAGAAAAAGCAUCGGCUAACUCCGUGCCAGCAGCCGCGGUAAUACGGAGGAUGCGAGCGUUAUCCGGAUUUAUUGGGUUUAAAGGGUGCGCAGGCGGAAUGUCAAGUCAGCGGUAAAAUUUCGGGGCUCAACCCCGUCGUGCCGUUGAAACUGGCGUUCUUGAGUGAGCGAGAAGUAUGCGGAAUGCGUGGUGUAGCGGUGAAAUGCAUAGAUAUCACGCAGAACUCCGAUUGCGAAGGCAGCAUACCGGCGCUCAACUGACGCUCAUGCACGAAAGCGUGGGUAUCGAACAGGAUUAGAUACCCUGGUAGUCCACGCAGUAAACGAUGAAUACUAACUGUCCGGGCCGAUUGAGGUCUGG